rnacentral:Y_RNA from 1 species
GGCUGGGCCAGGUGCAGUGCUAUUCACAAUUAAUUGAUCACAACCAAUUACAGAUUCCUCCUUUCCUUCUCCACUCCCACUGCCUCACUUGACCAACCUUAA